rnacentral:rRNA from 1 species
AGCGAACGAGGGCGGAAGGAAGAAAAAAGGAAAGUGGAAAGAACCUUUCGGGGUUAGGGGAGGAAGGGUGACGACCACGUGGGAACGUGCCUUUAGGUUGGGAACACCUCACGGAAACUUGUGCUAACAAGCAAUGUACCCUUCUGUUGAAAGAUUAAUCGCCUUUAGAGCGGCCCGCGUCUGAUUACCUAGUUGGUUGAGGUAAUGGCUCACCAUGUCGACGCGCAGUAGCUGGUCUGAGAGGAUGAUCAGCCACAUUGGGACUGAGACACGGCCCAAACUCCUACGGGAGGCAGCAGUGGGGAAUCUUGCGCAAUGGGCGAAAGCCUGACGCAGCCAUGCCGCGUGCCUUCUCCCGGACUGAGGAUUGUAAAAUUCUUUCACCGGGGACGAUAAUGACGGUACCCGGAGAAGAAGACCCGGCUCCCUUCGUU